rnacentral:rRNA from 1 species
AUUGAACGCUGGCGGCAGGCCUAACACAUGCAAGUCGAGCGGAUGCAGGGAGCUUGCUCCUGGAUUCGGGGGCCGACGGGUGAGUGAUGCCUAGGAAUCUGCCAGGUUGUGGGGGCUUAGGUCCGGACGUGGGCGCACAUACCGCAUAAGCCCAGAGGACGUACGUGGGGGAUCUUCGGAUCUUCCGCUCUUGGGUGAGUUUAGGUGGGAUUGGCUAGUUGGUGGGGUAAAGGGCUACCAAGCCAACGAUCCGUAGCUGGGCUGAGAGGAUGAUCAGUCACACUGGAACUUAGACACGUUCCAGACUCCUACGGGAGGCAGCAGUGGGGAAUAUUGGACAAGGGGCGAAAGCCUGAGCCAGCCAUGCCGCGUGUGUGAAGAAGGUCUUCGGAUUGUAAAGCACUUUUAUUGGGGAGGAAGAGCAGUACGUUAAUACCUUGCUGUUGUGACGGUACCAACAGAAUAAGCACCGGCUAACUUCGUG